rnacentral:SRP_RNA from 1 species
GCUGGGUGUGGUGGCAGGCGCCUGUAAUCCCAGCUACUCGGGAGGCUGAGGCAGGAGACUCGCUUGAACCUGGGAGGUUGCAGUGAGCCGAGAUUGUGCCAUUGCCCUCCAGCCUGGGCGACAGGGACAAAACUGUCUCAAAAAAAAAANNNNNNNNNNUUUUUUUUUUGAGACAGUUUUGUCCCUGUCGCCCAGGCUGGAGGGCAAUGGCACAAUCUCGGCUCACUGCAACCUCCCAGGUUCAAGCCAUUCUCCUGCCUCAG